GGGGACUUAGUUCAAUGGCUAGAAUAACGGUCUCCAAAACCGUUGAUGGGGGUUCGACUCCCUCAGUCCCCG
rnacentral:tRNA from 1 species